GUGGGCCCUGCGGAGCUCGCUCUUGAAAGCUGGCGGGAUCUGGCCGUAGGUCUGGGUCGCUUGCUCGAGUGGAGGUGGGCCAGCGAAGACCGCGGCGUGGGGUUGGGCUCCUGCAGCUCCCGUGGGCCUCCCACCCGCGCCUUUUGCCUUGUGUAGAGCCUGGGUGGAGGAGUGGGGGAGAGGGCAGGUGAGUGGCCUUCUGCACCCUCUGUGUCACCCAGGCUUCAGGGAUCGUGGAAGGAGCCUUAACUACGCUCAAACGGUCUUAUUUGUAGACAGUAAAAUGAAGAAGGCAUCUGGUGGGAACUGAGAACGGCAGUCAUGAAUCCUCCACUGACGGGGCGAGCAGUUCUUGAACAGACUCUGAAUGGACCGGUGCUGGAGCCGAGAUGUCGCUGGCUCAGUAGAGUGAUUGCCUAGCAUUCACGAAGCUCUGGUAUCAAUUCCCAGCACCAUUC